rnacentral:rRNA from 1 species
UUCACCGGAGCUUGCUCCACCGAAGAAAAGAGUGGCGAACGGGUGAGUAACACGUGGAUAACCUACCCUCAAGCGGGGGAUAACACUUGGAAACAGGUGCUAAUACCGCAUAACAAAGAAACCGCAUGGUUUCUUUUGAAAGGCGCUUUUGCGUCACUUGAGGAUGGAUCCGCGGUGCAUUAGCUAGUUGGUGAGGUAACGGCUCACCAAGGCAACGAUGCAUAGCCGACCUGAGAGGGUGAUCGGCCACAUUGGGACUGAGACACGGCCCAAACUCC